rnacentral:rRNA from 1 species
GAGUUUGAUCCUGGCUCAGGAUGAACGCUAGCGGCAGGCCUAACACAUGCAAGUCGAACGGUAACAGAAAAAAGCUUGCUUUUUUGCUGACGAGUGGCGCACGGGUGAGUAACGCGUAUGCAACCUGCCUUCUACAGGAGGAUAGCCCCCGGAAACGGGGAUUAAUACUCCAUAGUAUUGCGUCAACACAAGUUGAUGUUCUUAAAGCUUCGGCGGUAGAAGAUGGGCAUGCGUCCUAUUAGCUUGUUGGUAAGGUAACGGCUUACCAAGGCAUCGAUAGGUAGGGGGCCUGAGAGGGUGGCCCCCCACACUGGUACUGAGACACGGACCAGACUCCUACGGGAGGCAGCAGUGAGGAAUAUUGGUCAAUGGAGGAAACUCUGAACCAGCCAUGCCGCGUGCAGGAAGAAUGCCCUAUGGGUUGUAAACUGCUUUUAUUUAGGAAGAAUCCCCAGUACGUGUACUGGGUUGACGGUACUAAACGAAUGAGGACCGGCUAACUCCGUGCCAGCAGCCGCGGUAAUACGGAGGGUCCAAGCGUUAUCCGGAAUCAUUGGGUUUAAAGGGUCCGCAGGCGGACUAGUAAGUCAGUGGUGAAAUCUCUCAGCUUAACUGGGAAACUGCCAUUGAUACUGUUAGUCUUGAAUUCGGUCGAAGUGGGCGGAAUGUGUCAUGUAGCGGUGAAAUGCAUAGAUAUGACACAGAACACCGAUAGCGAAGGCAGCUCACUAGGCCUGAAUUGACGCUCAGGGACGAAAGCGUGGGGAGCGAACAGGAUUAGAUACCCUGGUAGUCCACGCCGUAAACGAUCAUUACUCGAUAUCAGCGAUAUACUGUUGGUGUCUAAGCGAAAG